GUAGGUGAACCUGCGGAAGGAUCAUUAUUGAUUUAAAGAUGUGCUGGCACUCCUUCACAGGUUUGCAUGUGCACUCUGCAAAAUCUCCUUCUCUUACCCCAUUGUGCAUACUCCAGUAGGCAAACAGAGAUUCAUAGAGCAAUCUGUGCAAUCUCAUUUGCCUAUGUUUUUAUCAAACACCAACAUGUCAGAAUGAUCUAUGUAGUAAGCUUUUAACAAGCUGAAAUCUAAUACAACUUUCAACAAUGGAUCUCUUGGUUCUC
rnacentral:misc_RNA from 1 species